rnacentral:lncRNA from 1 species
CAAACCUAGACUCACUACAAUCUUCAGUAUAGCUGUACUCAAAAGUCACACGAUCGAGCAUUGGCAUGAAAAUCCAACAGAUAACGGCUACGAGGCAAAAAAAGAAAAAAAGAAAAAAUUAAAAAAAUGGAGGCAGCAUGAGUAAAACGGAAGUGUGACCGUCAGUCCAAACAGGAUUCAUGAUAACAUUUCACCUGGAUGGGCUCAAAUGCAACAAUCUUCUACAUCACUUACCUACAACAUUGUAAC